UAGACGAUUUAAUAUAUAGUAUCAGUGGGGAUAUUUGUAAUGCAGAUAACUACUUGCAGCUUGAAACAUUGGCUUUCCUGAUGCACUGAAUGUUUGGAGAGAAAGGGUGCUAUUUAUGGUAAACGGAAGAGGAGAGAAGGAGGCAAGUUCAAAGCUGAAAAAGAUUUUCGAGAUUAUUUUCCAACCUAAUGCCCUAUUUUACUCACCUAGAAGAUGAGGUCCAGAAGAGAAACUGACUUGGCUAAUAACGCACUACCAACUUGUGGCUGAGCUGUGAGUUAAAUGAUGAAACUGAAGCAAAAUCACUUGGAUUUCUGCAUGGGAGUUGUCAACAGUCCUGAGAUUACACUCAAGGACUCCAGUGCAUUCAACUAAAUGUCAAUUAGUAUCUAAACUUUGCCAGAACACAGCAAACAGCAGAGCUAAGACAUCCUGUGGGUGCUCCUCCCUCCCUGCAGCCUGGCCUGAUCAAUUAGAGUUCUUUGGUUUCCAGAACAUGUUUGCUAUUUUCUUCUCCAGCUCCAUUAGCAGGUUGGAAAUGGCACACUGGCUUUUUAAUUAAUAAUAAUAAUAAUUAAAAUACUAAACACAGUGUUGACUAAAAGCAAACCAUUAUUCUCCCUUAAUCAGUUAGGCUUAGUAAUUUAUCUUUGUAUUUGGCAAACCUUCAAAAGGAGUAAAUCAAUGUUAAAUCCAAAAUUUAAUGACUCGAGGGUUUUUGGAGAAAAAUAAACCUACUAGUGCAUCACAAAAAAGGCAGAGACUGGAUAAGUCUGGGCUGUUUUACAAAUUGCUGUGUUCUACCACUAAAAAGAGGGUUAUCAGAAUUAUUGCUAGUUACAUAUGGGCUAACCCCAAACAUCUUAAUUUCCUUACAAGUCAUAUUUAAUUUUUGAGCUUAUAAAAAUGUCCCCAAUUAUUUAGAAGCAAGAUCAUUUUAUAUAGAGUUCUACUGUUAAAAACAGACACACCGUUUCAUUACCAGCAAACCCUAUGUGAGUGAUUCUCCACAUGCUUUGUCGAAUGUUUAAAUUGAAAUACUUAUUACACAUAUUGAAGUAUGCAUAAUAUUGCAAAAUAGACGGUUACCAAGUAAAAUAUUUCACUCUUUCAGCUAACACGUGCAUAUCUUUAACAACUGACAAAUUACAUAGGCAGGAUUGUUACACAAAAUGAAAAAUUUUUUUCAACAGCAAAGCAAAGCAUGUUUACACGCAUUAACUCAUUUGUUUUUAUCUUGUCCUAUAUUCCUGAAACUCACAGAAGGUAAUCUGUUAUACAAAUAGAUGAUAGGUGUGGAAAAUUGAAAGAGUAUAUGAAGGAAAAAGAGAAAUCUCCCUCUGGCUGAGGCCUGAGUGACCAACCUUCAGCAGAGCUGAGGCUACCAUGUUCUCCGGCGCCGGCAUCUCUGGGCUGUCGUCCUGGACCUUGCAGCUGCAAUGGAUUCAAGUUCGAAAUAUGGCAACUUUGAAAGAUAUUACCAGGUGACUAAAGUCCAUCAAAAACAUCCAGAAAAUUACCGGGUCUAUGAAAAUGGUAGCAGCAGCAAAAUAUGCCUGAGCUGAGAGAGAGCUGAAACCAGCUCGAAUACACGGAUUGGGAUCUUUGGCUCUGUGUGAAAAAGCUGAUAUCAAGACGCUUGAAGACAAGAAGAAACACCUUAUUGGUGUGUCCUCAGAUCAAGGACUGUGUGAUGCUCUUCACUCCUCCAUUGCUAAACAGAUGAAAAGCGAGGUUGCUACACUAACAGCAGCUGGGAAGGAAGUUAUGCCUGUUGGAAUUGGUGACAAAAUCAGAGACAUACUUUAUAGGGCUCAUUCUGACCAGUUUCUAGCGGCAUUUAAAGAAGUAGGAAGAAAGCCCCCUACUUGUGGAGAUGUGUCAGUCAUUGCCCUUAAAUUACUAAAUUCUGGAUAUGAAUUUGAUGAAGGCUCCAUCUUUAAUGGAUUCAGGUCUGUUUUCUCCUAUAAGACAGAGGAAAAGCCCAUCUUUUCCCUUAAUACCGUUGCAAGUGCUGAGAGCAUGAGUAUCUACGAUGAUAUUGAUGCUGAUGUGCUGCACAAUUACCAAGAAUACAGUCUGGCCAACAUCAUCUACUACUCUCUGAAGGAGUCCACCAGUGAGCAGAGCGCCAGGAUGACAGCCAUGGACAACGCCGGCAAGAAUGCUUCUGAGAUGAUUGACAGAUGGACAUUGACAUUCAACCGUUCCCUCCAAGCUGUCAUCACAAAGGAGUUGAUUGAAAUCAUCUCUGGUGCUGCAGCUCUGGAUUAAUGAAAAUCAAGUUCCAUCCUCAGACAAGAGUAAAGAAGGAAAAUUCAGCCAGCUGAUUUUGUUUUUAGCUUACUGUUGUCUUUGUCGGAAGAAACUGUUCCUCCAUUGUUUGAAUUACCGAAGACAGCAAGAUAUUUAUAAAUUAUCUUACAAUAAACAACUUAAAAUAAAAAAAAUAAAUCUCCCUCUCUAGCAAGCACCUCUUUCAUCUCCACACCCCAUAGGUGAUCAUUAUUAUCGUUGGUUUGAUAUCUGUCUUUUUAUAACAGUACUGGUUAAUAGAAAUGUAAUGUGAGCCACAACUGUGUGCAUAUUAAUUAGCCAUAUUUUUAUAAUAAAAGUAAAGGAAAUGAGAGAACUUAAUAAUAUAUUAUGUAAUAUAGUAUAUCCAAAAUAUUAUUUCAACAUGUAAUCAAUAUAAAAUUAUAAAUGAGAUAUUUUGCAUUUUUUUGCGCUGUCUUCAAACACCAGUGUGUGUUUUAUACUUAGAGUACAAAUCAACUCAGAUCACCGCAUUUCAAGUGCUCAGUAGCCACACAGGGCCAUGACUACCUGUGAGACAAUACAGCUGCAGACCUUCCUUUCUAUAUGAGAGAGAGAGACUGUGAGAUAGUACAUCAGCUAAGUAUUCUUCACCAGGUGCCAUGGCUCAUGCCUGUAAUUCCAGCACUUUGAGAUGCCAAGUUGGGCAGAUCAUGCGGUCAGGAGUUCAGAACCAGCCUGACCAACAUGGUGAAACCUUGUCUCUACUAAAAAUACAAAAAUUAGCCAGGCGUGGUGGCGUGUGCCUGUAAUCCCAACUACUCGGGAGGCUGAAGCUUGAGAAUCAUUUGAACUUGAGAUGUGGAGGUUGCAGUGAGCCAAGAUCGCGCCACUGCACUCUAGCCUGGGCAACAGAGUGAGACGUUGUCUCAAAAAUAAAUAAUUAAAUAAAUUUUUUUAAAAAAAGAAUCACUUUGCUGCCAAGAACAGAAGUAACAAUGACAAAUAAUAAAGGCUUCCAUCAGCCUAUGUAACAGGAAGUCUACAGAUGGCCACAUCCAUCAGCCUAUGUAACAGGAAGUCUACAGAUGGCCACGUCCAUCAGCCUAUGUAACAGGAAGUCUACAGAUGGCCACGUCCACCAGCCUAUGUAACAGGAAGUCUACAGAUGGCCACGUCCAUCAGCCUAUGUAACAGGAAGUCUACAGAUGGCCACGUCCAUCAGCCUAUGUAACAGGAAGUCUACAGAUGGCCACGUCCAUCAGCCUAUGUAACAGGAAGUCUACAGAUGGCCACGUCCAUCAGCCUAUGUAACAGGAAGUCUACAGAUGGCCACGUCCAUCAGCCUAUGUAACAGGAAGUCUACAGAUGGCCACGUCCAUCAGCCUAUGUAACAGGAAGUCUACAGAUGGCCACGUCCAUCAGCCUAUGUAACAGGAAGUCUACAGAUGGCCACGUCCAUCAGCCUAUGUAACAGGAAGUCUACAGAUGGCCACGUCUGAGGCUGGACCAGCAGCUAACAAUCCAGGUCCCAGAUUGCUAUCUGCAAUUGUCUCAACCAUCCCCUGUGGUUGUAAGGUGGUUGCUUCAGGUCCCAAGAGCGUAUCUUCCUACUCCAGCCUCUGAAGACAGGAAGCAGAAGCAUAGCUGAGAAAGAGCUCUUUCAUCAUUCAUGAAGGGGUAACAAUCUUUGUCAGAUGCCCCCUUUAUAGCUCUUGCUCAGAACAGAUCACAUGCCCUUCCCAGGUCAGAAGGUGGGUAUCUGGCUAUUUUAGCAUCCACAGUGAGAAGCAGCAAUAGGAGAAAGCGAUUGAAAAUGGUUGAAAGGUAGGCACCCAAAGAACUGACAUGGAUAGAUCUAAAAGUAGCAUUCCUGACUCAAACAGCAUGCCUGCCUCAGAGUUGGAUGGACCCUUCCAACACACUUCCUGUGGGCCGUGCCAAUCACAGUUCCUCCAAAACAUAUGUAAAACAUGUAAAAGAACGUUUCAGCACAUCUGCAGCACGUUGGGCUGCAAAUAACCCUGUACAGUUUACACUUUCAUGAAUAUCACCUUCAUUUUACCGAAAGUUAACUACCUUCUGAGGUCACAGCCAAGAAGACCCUGAGUCACGAACCAUCCCUUAAACCCAGGUCUUCCAUCUGCAAACUCACUGCUUUUUCCAUUCUUAGCUGCAAUCUAAUUGACAAGUAAAGAAUACUUCAUGAAAAUUUAAAGUAUAAUUAAAGAAUCUCAAGUUGAAUUGUAUGACAAAUUUGAAAACGCACUGUAAGUCCCUUUCCAGGAUAAGCUCUGGUAUUUAUAAAAAUUCAAACACCCAGUCUGUGACUGACCACCAGAAAAACAGAUCUUGGGACACUAAAUGAUCUCUACUUUUGCAAUGGUUGUUCAUAAACCUCAAAGUAUUUUUAUGCCCAUUAUCUCAUGUGAUAAAAAAAAAAACCUCUGAGAUUGGCAGAAGUGUGCAAACUUUUUUGAUAAGUGGUAACUAAGACUCAGAAAAGUAAAGUAAUUGGGUCAAUAUCAAACCUGUAGGCUGACUCAGGUCUUGGAUGCUAGGAACUAUAAGUAAGAUGGAUAUCAGAAAUCAUCAGAGGCUCUUCUAUCAUCAAAACCCUUUCAUCACAUGCUAAGCACUGUUCUGAACCCUUUACAUUUGUUAACUUAAUUUCACAAGAGUCCUAUAAAACUGUGCAUCAAUGCUGUCUUCAGAACAAACUAAAUUUGCAGGUGUUCACAUUAGACAGUUACUUCUCAUUAAUAUCUACUACAUGAUUUGGUUGAAGUUCAGCUGAUCUAGGGUGGACUUAGCUUGGGAUGACUUUAAGCUCAUGGGCUGGGUUCAAGUGUACUUCUGAUUAAUACAAAUAACAUCUUGCUUGUCUAUUUCACACUCAACAGACCUCACACACAAAUAUUAUUUUCUCAGUCCUCCUGAAUGGGAGUUGGAGUCUCUCAAAGGAAAUGGGAGGAUUCUGACAAGUAGAGAAAUGCCCCAUAGCCACCUCUGUCAAACAGCCAAGUGAAAUUGAAAAUAGGGCACUGGAUUUGAUAAGGAAGAGGUCACUGAUGAAGCCGUCACCUGAAAUCUGGGCGGGGUGCCAUCAGGCACAGGUUUCUGUAGGGCAACAGUUCUCGAAUUGUGUCCCCUGAACCAGCAGCACCAGUGUCACUUGGGAAUUGGUUAGGAUUUUCUAAGACCCCACUCCAGACAUACUGAAUCACAGACUCAGAGUGGGGCCCAGCAAUUUUUGUUUUAAUAAGCUUUUAAGAGGACUCUGAUGCUACUUUUUUUUUUUUUUUUUGAGACGGAGUUUCGCUCUUGUUACCCAGGCUGGAGUGCAGUGGCGUGAUCUCGGCUCACCGCAACCUCCGCCUCCUGGGUUCAGGCAAUUCUCCUGCCUCAGCCUCCCGAGUAGCUGGGAUUACAGGCACACACCACUGUGCCCAGCUAAUUUUUUGUAUUUUUAGCAGAGACGGGGUUUCACCAUGUUGACCAGGAUGGUCUGAAAUCUUGACCUCGUGAUCCACCCGCCUCGGCCUCCCAAAGUGCUGGGAUUACAGGCGUGAGCCACCGCACCUGGCCUCUGAUGCUACUUUUAAAUUUGAACACCACUGCUCUAAUAGGAUGCAGAGAAAUGAACUGUACAUAGAAUUUACCAUUGCUGACCCUUUAGAAAGCUGAUGGUUUUCCACUGUAGCAUUCACAAUCUUGACUGUAUGUACCCUGCCUUUAUUUUACUAUAUAUGCAAUAUAGUCUUUGAAGUGCCUGUCCUACCAAGAGAAUCCUACACUAUUGUGGGCUUUGGUUGAAAAGCACGAAAGUCACCCUGGAUUGAAUCCUGGAUUGUUUCUUGGUGGGGAACAUAAAGAUCGUUAAUGGGUCAAUUGAUCAAAUUUGAAUAAGAUAUAGAUUAGAUAACAGUAUCGUUUCAAUGUUAAUUUCCCAAUGCUCACAAAUGAACUGUGGUUAUGUAAGAGAAAGUGACUGUUUCUAGGAAACACAUACUGAAGUUUUUUAACUUCAGGGAACAUACCGUUUGCAACUUACUUUCAAACAGUUCAGAAAAAAUGAUUUUGCAUGUGUCAUAUGUAUAUGUGUGGGAAAAGAAUGAUAAAGCAAAUAUGGUCAAAUGUUAUAUUUAGAAAAUCUAAAUGAAGAGUAUGUAGGAAUUCUAAAUACUCUUUUCCCAAUUUUUGUACUAUUUCCAAAUUAAAAAUUUACAAAGGAGAAGCAAGCAGAGCCACCAUGACUUGUGCUCCAGAUGUGUGCAACUGACUUGGCGGAAUCUCAUGCUUUGUGUUCUAUCCUGUUUUGGAGCGUAACUUUCCUCCCUCCAAAGGAAACAAGACACAUAUAUGGAAAUGCUUAUGGAUCUACGGUGAUCAUCAGGCAUGGAGCAGCAAGGGAGCAUGAGCUUCUUGGCACCUCCCAACCUGAUGAUCUUCAUGGCUGGAAAUGUCCCCCUUCCUUCUGAGUUUCUCUGACAUUAGUGUCUGUCCUGGGAUAUUAUUGCUCAUUUGUCAGUACUAAGAAGUAGUUUAAGAGAGCAGCCUCUGGGGCCACUUCAUGUAUUUAUGACUUCAAACAGCAAGGGUUCAAAUUAUGCCUCAACCAUGCUAACACACGGAAGUUAUUCAGUAAGUCUUCACUCUUGCUAUGAUUUCCAUACAUUUCUUCUUUCUAAGUCACCACCUAUGUUUACGUCUUCAAAUCUAGAUAGUUGUGUAGUCACAGGAUGUUCACAGCACGUUAAAUUCAUCUGGUCCAUUCUCUCAUGUCACACCUGAAGAAACAGAGGCCCCAGAAAGGCUAAGUAACUUACCCAAGUGACACAACUUGUUGGUGUUACUAGCUCAAAUCACUUGUGCCUGGAAUCCUUUCUGCCAGGAUACUCUCCAGGCUGGGGAUCUGAAAGAGCAGUGGUGUGGGCACUCUGAUUUCCAGAGAAGGUCUUUACAUAGGAAACAAUUUUGCCUGGAGGGAGCCAGGCACCUUUUUAUGUAGGAAUAACGUCUCUCACUAGAGUCAUCAGAGUCACUGGAAUGAGAAAUUGCCAGGUACCACAGGCACACUGAAUUGUAGUUUAUUUUUCAAAUAUGUGGUAACUUGAGGACACUGGAAAUGAGCAUGGUACAAUGACAGACAGAAAACAGUGAGUUUAAAUUUGCCAAUUAACUUGGGUAUGUCACGUAAUGCCCACAAGUCGUAUUCUCUGCAUCCACAAAGUGCAGUUAACAGUGCUUCUCUCCCAGUAUGGUGACAGUGAUCAGACCAGACGCCUAUCAGGGGCAAUGGGUCCAGGGCCAUGGAUGGCCAAUGAAUGUUCUUUGCUCCAAAAAAAGGUGAUGGCUGACUUCGGGGCAGAGAAACUGGUGGCAAAGUUGAAGCUGGUGAGGGCCAAUAGGAAGAGGCCAUGGUGGGUGGAGAACAACACCUGGAAUAAAAUGUUCCUGCUCUGAGAGAAGUGGAGGACCUGGAACCAUGAGACCAGUACGUCUCACUCACACAUCUAUUGUAUGGGCCGGGGAUGAAGAUUUGCCACCAACUGGAUCUUCACACAAGUUAUCAAAUAGUGAUAUUUCAUUUCUGAUUACAAAUUCUCUUACUCGUGUUGGGUUUUUCCUGCAAUUAACUAGCUAUUUACAAAGGCAUUAUCGUAUACAGCCAAAGGCAUUGGUUUCAAUGCCUGAGACAACAAAUCUGGUGUAAAACUGGCAACUCGGAAAUUCUGUGAGUUUGGGCAAGUUACUCAGAGUUUGUGAGGCUCAAUUUCUUCACUCAUAGAAUGGUGGAUAAUUGUUUGGUUACUACUGCUGUGUAGCAAGUUACCCCCAAGCCUAGAGAGGGAAGGAAACAACAGGUUUUCAGCUAUUUUGUGGUUUAAGAAUUUGGGAAGGGCUUGCAGUUCCCACUUGGGAUGCCAUAUGCCUGCAGUCAGGUGGCAGUGGGGGUUGGGCUUGUCUAAAGACUCAACAGGGCUGGAUGUCCAAGAUGUCCCAUCAUAUGAUACAGGCUAAGAGGCCAACUGAGGACCAACCAGAGGACCAAAGCUUAGCCUCUCCAGCACCAUAGUCUCGGUGGCGGGGUAGUCAGACUUCCUUACACCGUGACUGGCUUUCCCUAGGUCAAAACACAAGAUGUCUUUUUCUGAUGUAUUCUUGGAAGUCAAACAGCAUCACAUUGUGUGGGUGUGGGGGGAGGGCGGUGGGGGGCUGUGUGUUUUUUCCUUGUCUGGUUUUUAUUUGUUUACUUGUGGGCUUUUUAAUUUAUGUCAGUAGGUUUAGGGGGAACAGGUAGUGUUUGUUUACAUGAAUAAGUUCUUUAAUGGUGAUGUCUGAGAUUUGGUGCACCCAUCACCCAAGCAUUGUACACUGUUCCCAACAUGUAUGUAGUCUUUUAUCCCUCACCUCCCUUCCACCCUUCCCCCUAAGUCCCCGAAGUCCAUAGUAUCAUUUUUAGCCCUUUGUGUCCUCAUAGCUUAGCUCCCACUUAUGAGUGAGAACGUACGAUGUUUGAUGUUCCAUUCCUGAGUUACUUUCUUAGAAUAAUGGUCUCCACUUCCAUCCAGGUUGUUGCAAAUGCCAUUAUUUUGUUCAUUUUUCUGGCUGGGUAGUAGUCCAUGGCAUGCAUAUAUAUAUAUAUAUAUAUGUAUCUCACAUAUAUAUAUACAUAUAUCUCAUUUUCUUUAUCCAUGCCUUGAUGGAUGGGUAUUUAGCCUGGUUCCAUAAUUUUGCAGUUUUGAAUUGUGCUGCUCAUCAUAGCAUCACUUAUUUCAUGAUAAAUCAGUCGUAUGCUCACCCAGGUCAAAGGGAGGAACAUAGGUUCUACCUCUUGAUGAGAAGAAUAUUAAAGAACUUAGAGACAUGUUUUAACACUGUCACAAUUAUAAUAUCGCAUUAUAAGAUUGUUGAAAAAAUUAGAUAUAUAAUCAUUACAAAGUGUUUUACAUUUGGUGCUAAUGUUGAGAUUUUUAUAAUUGCAUAUACCAGAGAAACAAGUUUCUGUCUCUCAGCUGGAGAGAUGCAGGUUUUAAGACACAAACACAGGUAUAUACCAUCCUUUCUUUAAACCACUCGAACCCAGGCUAGCAACUAGUUGAAUGCCAUUGAUUGCUUAGAGGAAUUAACCAAAUACCUUCUCUGGGUCCCUAAGAUCCAUUGAUUUCCUGCUUUUCUCCCCAGCUUCAUGCGAAUGUCACUGAAUGGUGGGAGGCUGUUUAAAUGGGCAGAGAUAUUGAUUUUCCUUUAUACUUUUUGGAAAGCUCUUUGCUUACCAGGUGCUGAGCAAACAUCAGGCAAAUGGUAGUCCACAUAGAAACAGAUGAUGUGAGGAGCAACAACAGCAGUUAUGGCUUCUGAAUGUGAAGCUGGUUAAGCAGCAGGUACCCCCACUACACACUCUGGUUUUAGAUUCAAAACUACACGUCAUUGUUCACACUUUGUCAUUUGCCAACUGAUGAUAUAGCUCACCCAGAUGGCAUUAAGUAGCAUAGUGGAAAAUAUUCCCAACCAAUCCGUGAAAACAGUUCCAUCCCUCUCGGAAGAGGGUUGACUGAAAGCUGAGAUGAACUGAGGGCUAUGAUGGGGUAAUGCGGUGCAUUAGGUUGGGGUCUGCAUCCUAGGUGUCUACGUGAAAAACUGGUUAUACCCUUGGAAAUGAAAACGAACUUCUUAGUUUGUGUCAUUGGUGAAGAAAUCUCUGCGUUUCUUUGACAUAGAGGACAUUCAAGAAACCACACAUCGACAUUAUGUUGCUCUUGACACCCAAGGAAACUGACGUGUGGUUAACUUCUCCCAAAGAAAAAGCCAGGGAUUCCCUCAGGGAGUCAAAGGGCAGCAGAUUGGAAAUCACUUGCAAUUCACACCAGUGGAAGGAAACCAGUGAUGGAGGAUGGAAAAGAGCUUUGUUUCCAGCAUGUGUUUCCUGAAUGUGACAGCCCUAGAGAACUUGCUCCAAAGAACAGUAAAGAAGAAUCCCAAAGUGCAAUACUUUUUUUAUGAUUUUGUCAGAUAUUCUGAAUUUAAAUAGAUUAUUACUUUCGACAGAAUGCGGCAAAAACCAUGGUGAGGCAUUCUUGGGCUUGCUUUUCAGUUUUUGCGAUGUCCUUAGGGAAAAGGCCUUACUGGGGCCGGUUUGCCAGGCUCUGUCCUUGGAGCACAUUUUCAGCACUCGGUUGGAAGUACGUCCAUUUAACCCUCAGCUGCAGAUGAGAACAGGAUGCAGCAAUUUUAAUGCAAACCAGAAAAUAAAAUUGGCUUUAACAGCCAAGAAGGAAAUAAAGAAAAAUCUGCCCCAUCUUACCUUAUAAAGGUAAUUCCUCUGUUUUCCCUGAACUCCCAACACUUUCCCUUUGUUUUCCCAAUACUCCCAUUUAAAAGUAUUGGGAGAGGUGUGCAGUGGCUCAGGACAUAAUCUCAACAACUUGGGGGUCCAAGGCAGGAAGAUCACUUAAACUCAGGAGCUGGAGACCAGCCUGGGAAACACAGGGAGACCUGACUCUACAAAAAAAUUGUUUUUUUUUUAUUAGCUGAGUAUGGUGGUGCAUGUCUGCAGUCCUGCUACUUGGGAGGCUGAGGCAAGAGAAUUUCUUGAGCCCGGGAGGUUGAGGUUGCAGUGACCUGUGACCGUGCUACUGCGCUCCAGCCUGGGGGACAAAGCAAGAAACUCUCUCAAAAAACAAAACAUAUUAGGAAAAGAGAAAGAGAGAAAUAAGGUCUAAAUGUCUCCUCUCUGCAUAUGAUGUACCUGGGUUCAGGUCAGGCAGGUAUGGAACUCAGGCCAGUCGUUCUUACCUGUCUCUGAACUCAGGCACUUCCACACCUGUGUCCCCUCCAGACUCAGGUUCUUUCUUCUGAGUAGAAAACUUAUGGUUUUUAAAUUGUUGCUACUGGUUUUGUUUUCAAGUGAACUUUUUGCCUGUUCUGUCAGGAUCAUUUCAGGAGAGUAGCAACCCUGAAGAAAACUCCCUUUUUCUUUGAUGUAUCUUUCUUUUUUAAAAAAUUAAAUAAAGACUUAGUGAAUUCCUAGUUUGCACCUGGCACUUCUGGGAACUCAGAAACAGAGUGAGAGAGAGCUCAUUCCUGGGAAGAGGGAUGGUACUAGGAGACCAGACAGGGCUGGGACCUUCCUAGGACUCUGAGUGCUAUUGGGAGGGCAAACAAAUGCAUGUCAUUCCUAGAAUGAUUAGGAAACACUAGCAAUUCAAAGGGAAGACAGUCUCAACGAGCUAGUAUGGUAGAUGAGUCCAAAUUGAUAGCAGAACAUCCAGCAAAUCAACCCUUCUUAAUUCCAGACAGAAUUCUCAGAAAGGAUAUAGGAAUGUUCACAUAGCACCUUACUUUUGAAGUGAUUUUGCUGACCUCACCAAGGCAUGCCAUCUAGUUUUCAUUAAGAACAGCACACAUUUUUAGGGAGAUUUGUUCAACAACUAAUAUAGAAAGCUUCUUAGGGAUACGCAGCACUUUUCAGACCCCAUAAAACAGUUGCAUAAAAGUGAUCAAAUUUCACAUUGUGAAACGAGGCGCAAUGUGGCUUUUAAAAAUGCUGACGAGGCACGAGCGACCUGGUAGCUUCCAUUUGCUUGUUUGACCACAGUACGAUCCGAGCAUGUUUGGAAGUGGAGGAAAAAAGUAAAUAGAAAUCACACUCCAUCAGAGAACCAUGGUGGGCUUGUUCACAUGUAGGAAAGGUGGUGGUAGAGGUGGUAAUCGUAUUCUCAUAUAAAUCUCAUGUAAACCAUAAAUGCAAAGCUGUAUUAUGGAAGCAGCAGAAGCUUUUUUUCUCAGGCAGUGAGACAAAAUAUAUUCUUGCACCCUGGUUUUGUUGCUCCCUCCUCCAUGUAAAUUACAGUUUAAUGGCAAAUACAGCACUAAAGCAUGGGACACAGACAAUAAUAUGGUGCUAAAUGAUUACUGAAGUCACAGCUGUAUGAUUCAAAUAAUCUUGUCAGAGGACAAACUGACAAACAUAAUGACAGGUAUCAUCAGGAAGUGUAGUAGAUAUUAAAGAUAUUAAACCUUUCCAAGUCAUCAAUUCUGAAAAAAAAGAAAAAAGAAAAAAAGAAAAGAUAUUAAACCUAGUGGUUUAUGCAUCAGUGUUUUGCCACGAGAUGCUAGUGAAUGCAUCCUGGACAGGAAGUCCAUAGAGGCACAGCAGAAUUUCGUAAGGACAUGAGCCUGUCUGGAUGCAGGCAGAUAGGGUGGGUCGGACUCUGGUGCCUUGAAAUCCAGGCUGAAGCACCGUUGCAUUCUACACAAGGAAAAUGUGCUUAUGGAUAUGAGAAGAAUCUAGAACUUAGGUAUUUGGGAGACCAAAGGCAAUUUUCCCUGGUUGAUGCUCUGUCUCAUCUGUGAAGCCCUGCUUGUAGAGAGGAUAUGAGUGAAGCCACAAAGAUGUAGAGCUAAGGAGAUGGUAUUGUUCCUUUGGCUGGAUCCAUCAUGAGAUUCUAAUCCAAUAACAAUAAUUCUUGUGUCUUAUAAAGCCCAGUCCUUGAGUUACACCCAGCCUUUCAGUCUUUCCAGCUGAGGACCCAGAAAUAAGAUUACAGAGACUGUUAACAAAAUGCCAGAGUUCUGGUCUAGGUGCUGCUGUGCCCCACAUAGAAAGCCAAUCACUGAGAAUGAAAAUUGCCAGAGAAGAAGGCUUUAAUCAGAGGCUGCAGUUGAGGAGAUGAGAGAUCAGUCUCAAAACCAACUCCCUAAUUAAAAUUAGAGUUUUAUAUUGCAGGGAAGAAAUAUAACUACAUACAGGAAAACAGGAAUUAGGGCGGGGUAAGAAAGAGAAGUUGGUCAACAGGAAGCAGGUUGUUGCUUAGACAAUCAUGGCAGGUGAGAGGUCUAGCAUCUCAUUGUCCAGAUGCAGUGAUCUGAUGAGUUUCAGUUCCUCAGUGCUAUCUGGGAGGCCUGAGUUUCCUGAUAAAGGAACUCAGAUAGGACAAAUGUAAGUUUCUCAGUUUUCAAGACUGGGAGGAUCCGUUUCUGUGUUUAUUCAAAAGAAACCUUAAAUAUCAGUUCUAUGAGACAAUUGGGCCAGUUUCAACACAAGCCAUCCCUCUGUGCCAUCUCCAAAUUCCUGACCUCAGAAUCUGUGAGUGUAGUGAAAUGGCUGCUGUGAGCCACCACAUCCUGGGUUUGUUUUGCAGCAACAAUAGUUGAAACAAAAAACACUGAGCUCAUGAUCCACUGACAUCUCAUCAUUGGCUUCUACCACUUAGCAUUGCAGGCCCAGCCCAGUUUGACUUUUUUAUUCCUUUACAAUUAAAAUGUUUUGGGUUUUUA